rnacentral:snRNA from 1 species
AAACUUACCUGGCUGGGGGGCAUCUCGCGAUCACGAAGGCGGGACCUCCACGGUGAGGUUUGGUCAUUGCACUUUCGGUCAGGCUGACCUGUGCGGCAUUCCCGAGUUGGGAUUGGCCGACAGCAUAAUUUUUGUGUUUGGGAGAGCGUUCGCGCUUUCCUGC